CUCAGAAUACAAAAAAAAGUCAAAAAUGGCCUUGAAAGAUCAUUUUACUAGAGCCUCUUGGUUAACCCUUUAAGUGCCAGAAUUUGCCUCCAGAAUGACAUAUUGCAUACUAUUCCGGCAAACUGUUAAAGUUUAAAAGAAAAAAAAAGUGUGUGGUUUUUUUUUCAAAAAAACUGUAGCUUCAUGCCAUGCUUAACCCGUUAGCGCAAACUGAACCUUGAGUCGGCCGUGAGUCGGCCACAUUGCUACUAAGGAGAAACAAAGACCUUUUUAAUUUCAGUAUUAUUUAAGAAUGUUUUAUUUAAUAAACAAUAGGUGCCCUUACUUUUUGGUACCAAAGAUUUUAAUGAUUUUGUAUAGAUGUGCA